AAAUCUCGAAUACCUCGUCUACUCGUCAUUUAUCUCCCUCUUUAUCCUUCAUUCUUCACCCUCGUCUUCUUCACCCAAAUCACUCCAGCCCAGAACAAAGAUACAGUCCCGCUUAAUUUUCUCCAUUCACAUCUCAAACAACCGAUCAUCUUUCAGAAAAUGCAACCCUCACCGGGAUCAACCCCAUAUAUACUUCAAACUCGGCUAGCGAGUCCACUCAGCCGGCGACCCCCGCCGAAUCGACUAAGAUAUCGAGGCCAGACCACCCAAGAAGAAGAGGGUUUGUCUCAUUACUCCUUUUGCUUUCGGUCAGUUUUCGAAGUUUUAGUCUUGGUGAUUUGUGUUGGGCACUGUGUUAUGAUGGAUUCACUUUCAAAUCGAACAGAAUACGCAUGAAGGUGGAUGCUUUUUCGUAGAUUUCGGAGCUGCUUGAUUCAGGGAAGGCAACGUUUAAGAAGAUCAGUGAUGAGUAUGAGGUGAGUUUCAAAAAAGAUUAGUGCCCAGAAGGUGUUUGUGUUAAUGCCUGAGUGGGGAUUUGUGUGCAGGUUUCACAAGGAGCAGAUGAAGGCUGAAGGAGAUCAGGGAGUUGUGCGCAAUUGAUAUUUCGAAUGAGGAGGCUACUCAAUGCUGCAUAUUUGCUUCAGAAUCCUCAUGUUGAUUCUUGAAGGUAAUACUUAAAUUUGCUAGUCACGUGUUCAUUUUACUGCUUAUAGAUGAUGUACUCUUGCAGAUUGAGACUCCUGAUGUUGAUUAUAUUAUGGCUGGCUAAAUAGGUCCAUGGAUAUAUAUAGUUUAGCUUCGGUCUGAUAGAUUUUGAUGGUUUACCUUUAUUCCCAAAGCAAUUUUGUUAGGAUAAUUCAUUAUAGCAGAACACUUUGGUCUUUUUGUUAUCGAUUACACAUAGUGACAUAGCAUAUAUGAGCUGCAUCCUUUUGCCUGAUACACUAGAAAGUUGGUUAACAUCUGCAUUAAGACAGAGCAAAGCAUAUGGGUUUACUUUGAAUAGUUCAAUAUACAGAAGGGUGUGCCUUUUUAUAGUAAUAAAAAACAAGUUGGGUCAAUCUAUGUGGUUAUGUCAGAUAUAAGAAUUGACCCUUGUGUAGUCCUUGGUAAUGGAUUGAAGGUCAUCAUCUCUUUCUUUUAAGCUCUUUUAUUUUGUGGCCUUUAAAGCCCUAAUUUAGUUUGUGGCCACCCCUGCAUUGAUUGAGCUUCUCACAAGAUUUGUAGGUUUCAUCCUUUAUAACCAAUAUGUUUGGCAUGGUAGUUUCAAUGCAAAUGACCACUAUAAGAGAGAACAAGUGGAAUCAAUGGCCACUAGCAGCUUUAGGCUUUGAUGAUGGCGUACUGUUCUCUUUCUUGCAAGCAAUUAAUCAUAUUGUAUCUAUUGGUAACUUUAGGCUUCAUAUGCUCUGGAUUGAGAUUGACAUAUCUUUAUAAGCCAAAUAUGAUUUAUUUUACUAUUGUGCAAGGUUGCGGUUACAAAGAACAAGUAGGAGCAGUGAUCAACCAAAGGCUUCAAGGGAGAACUCUUUGGAGAAGCAUAUUGAAAGAAACAUAACUAGCCUAAAUUUAGUGUCUGUUGUAGCAUGCUUCUCUAAAUUUAACACAAUAUUCCUUUCAACACGCACAACAACUUCCCUAACUAGCACUUAGUCCAAUUCUAAGCCUAACUAGGGUAAUCGAAUCAAAACAUCCAAAAAUCCCCCAAUUCAAACCCUAGCCCGAAAAUCCUCGUACACACUUCGAAUUGGUUAAUUACCUUUUAGGGGAUUGUUACACACGGAGAGUACUUCCAAAUGGGACUCAAAUCACCGGAGAUGGUGGUCGGAGGAGCGAGUUCCGGCGAAAAACCUCCACGCACAGCCACGGCUUCCGGUCGCUCCUUCUCCCUCACGGUGGCGCGACACCACCGGCUAGCUACCCAGAUCGAAUGAGGACGAGCCAAGCUUCAAAUCCCGACCGGUAUGGCGGCCUAACUCCGCCGGACGGCGACGAACGGAGGUGGAGAAGGCACCAGGUCGGGAACCGAGCGGGGGAGAAGUGUCACAUUCCGGUUCUUAAGUCAAUUUGCGGUUAUUUACUUUUGGGUUACAUUGACCUUUUACCGUUUUAAGUAACCGUUUACUAAUUAAGACUCCAAAAGUUGACUUUUCUUCCGUUUGGAAUUUUGGAAAUCUUUCUUCAUGAAAGUUGUAGAGGACGUUAAUAUGAGUUCGUAGACAUGCUAAACGUUAAAAUCGGAGUUAGCAUGAAAAAGUUAUUAGAUAAAAAUAGUAGACUUUGUUUGGUAAAGAGGGGUGGAAUUGUUUUAGUUAUGUAUUAUUUUUGGGUUUUUUAGUUUUGUUUGGUAGUGGGAGUUUUAAUUGUGACGGCAAAGGGACGAAAGGACCCAACCUCAUCUCUCUCUCUCUCUCUCUCUCUCCCGAGCCUACCUCAACCCGUUGGAGACAUCAGCUCCGCCCGCCGCCGUCCGGCCACCAGAGACUGCCGAACCACCCAAGCUCGGACCCUCGCCGCCCCCUCUCUCUUUCUAGGCCGGUGAUUGCACGCGGGACGCCGCAGAUUGAGAGAACACCGACUGCCAACUCGUCGGAAAUCCCACCUCUGGCCACCAAAGUUAGUGAUUCUUAGCUCAUCUGGUAGCUCUCAUCAAGGUGAGUAAUCCCUCAAAAGGAAUUGGUCUAAUUCGAUCUCAUUAAUGAGAAAUGUUUAAUUGAAGUUCUAGGGAUUUAUGGAUGUUUUGGUUCGAUUACCCUAGUUAGCCUUAGAAUUGGAUUAAGUGCUAGUUAUGAAAGUUGUUGUGCUUGAUGAGAGGAUUAUUCUGUUAAAAUUUGUGAGGCAUUGGACGUCGUCGGAGUUCGGCUACCGGCGUAGCAGGCGGCGGCGCUGCCCCUUAGGGUAGCUUUUCAUGUUUUUGAGUUUUUUUUUAUGAGAGGAGUUUAAUGAAGUAAAGUUUGCAAUUUUUGGAAGAGUUUUGAUAAGGUUUGAGAUUUUUCAAAGAUUAAAGAUUUUGCCGGUUGUUAGAAUGAAAAAUCCGGCCGUUGAAUUUCCUUGGUAUUUAGCUUGGAAUGUUAGAAUUGAUGAUUUAAGGUUGUGGUGGAGUUUGAUGUGAAUCCGGUGAGUUUAACCCUAAUAAGAGUAGUGGGUUAAACGGAAGAGAGUUAGAUGUUUUUAUUCACGUAUUUAUUUUUCGGAAUUGAAGUUUGGUCCUAAGAAUGGUUGUUGUGCCAGGAUUCGAGGAGACCUCGCUUGAGUGGCGAUUCGGAUUUCGUCGGGCUUAGGUCUAAAUCUGUGAGUGGACAUUUUGGUUUUUAAUUAAUAUGCAUGCAUGAUUUUAUAAGUUGUCUAUUAUAUUUGUCCAAGUUUAAAUUAUAAUUUCAGCUUUUGAAUUGGUUAUGGAUUUGAGCUUGGGUAAGAGUUUUGGUAUUUGAAUUAUGAUAUUCGUUCGACCUCUAGAUUUGAGAUUUCUUUAAAGAUUUGAGUAUUGUGUAAUUUUUGAAACAUGUUAAUGAUAUGAGUUAUUUAUUUCUUUGAGCAUUUUAACGUGUGGGACACGUCAUUGAAUUUAAUUAUUUUCUUUGCUCUUUGAAUUCUUUGAGUACGGUUGGGAAUCGUACUUAUGCUUUAGUUAUGAGUUUCGGAGAAACUCACAUGGAUUUAUGUUCCUUUAUUUAUGUCAUACUUGUUGGAUCGUUAUUAUUCAUGCUAGCAUGUCGUUCCGCCUUUUGAGACAAUGUAGCUUCCACGUUUUAAGUGGGGUUAUUCAAGCCCUUUCUGCCUUCGGGUGAUGUGAUGUAGUCGACGACAUCACGCAAGCCCUGCACUCUCUCGGUUAUCAUAACGUGAAGGUGUAGGGAGUAUGGGAGUACUUUUGCCUGAGAGGCACCCGAGCCUGGGAGGCUCACUUGUAUGGCUAUAAUUGCUUCUUAUUUAAUAUUUAUUGUUUUGACUAGCGGGGCUAGUCCAUCUUUUCGAUAUUUCAUUUUACAAAGGUCUUUAUGCACCUUUAAUGUUGUUUUUGACUAGCGGGGCUAGUCCACUAUUUUGGUACUUUCUUUUACGAAGGUUAUUAUUUAUCUUUGUUGUUAUUUUGACUUGCCCGUUUUCUUGGAAUUUUCUUUAUGAAGGUAUUAUCAACGCUUGCAUGCAACGGAUUUCUUGAUUGUUGGAAAAUGGGAAAGUAAUUAAGUUUGGUUAGUUAUGUUUCGAUCAGUUACUUGAUUAUUUUUUGUCCACUCACUCUAACAUUUUAAAUUACUUUUCCCUGGGCCCUUUGGUUUUAAAUGCCCAGUUUACAGGCUAAGUUAUUUGAGGUCGAGCGUACAUGGAGUCGAGGCAUAGUCAGAGGUUGCUUCCGCUUAUUCUUUAGUCAUUGUUUUUCGUUUAACUUUAGAUAUGCUCUGAUAAUCAGUUAGUAAAUUAAUGUUGGUUAUUGUUGGUUGUGGGAUUAGUUUAGUUGAGUAAUUGUUAUAUUGGGAGAUGUGUUGAACUUGAGGAGCAGGAAGGCUCUAGGUGUUGAGGAUGGAUGUUUGUUUAUAGAAGUGUUAAGUUGGAUUUUUUAGGUAAGGGUUAUCCAUUUUCAAGGAAGGUUAUACCGAAUUUUCGGUUAAUUUUCCUUGAAGAUGGACUCCGUAGGAUUUACCUCGAGUUUCAGGGUGAAAUUCGGGGUGGGUUCUGUCAAGAAGAGAGAGAAGUGACAAUGAAAUCUGAUUUUUCACUUUUGACUUUCCACCUUUGGCCCCUUAUAUUCCUACCUUCCUGAAACAGUAACUUCACAUUUUACACUAUAACUUUUACAUACGAACUCCGAUUUUAAUGUAUAGUAUGUCCACGGAUUCGUAUUAACGUCCUCUACGACUUCCUUAAAGAAAUUUUCCUAAAAUAAUUUUCCUAUAAAAAGUCAACUCCAAGGUCUUUUAACAGUAAACGGUUACUCAAAGCGGUAAAAGACCAAAGUAACACGAAAGUAAAUAACCGUAAUUUAAUUUAAGAAUCGGGAUGUGAUAGAUUGUGUGCAUUUGUUGUGGAAUGGUGUCUUAGUGGUGAUCGUGUGCAUUAGAUUAGAAGCCUUCGUGGUGGACCGGGAACCAAGCCUUGGCCGGGUGAUUGGUUACGGUCAGUAUAGAGUUCUAGUCAAUUUGUCAGUACUUCAUGGGGGAUGAUUAAGUGUUGACCAACUCAUAAGUAAGAGUAGAGAAAUGAUUGUGUGAUGUUCUUAUGUGUUUUCAUUUAAAUUCCUUGCUUUGAGUAUCUCCUAAACUAUGUUUAUCCGCAGGAGAUUCUUUAAUCUUAAUUGUGUGAUUUUCAUAGAACUCAUGAACUACACUUUUUGCAGGAUUCAUUUAUGAUUUUGAUUGAUUGUGAAUUGUUGUGUUUCUUAUUUCUCUCUUUGAAUUCUCUUACUUUUAGGCAAAUAUUCCUGAACUAAGUUGGUAAUGCAGGAAUUUCCAGUUUUAUCUUAUGUGAUGUUGGAAUUGUUGAGUUAUUAUUUUGGGAGUUACUUAUACGAGCUUUUUAGCUUACCGGGUUUGUUGUUUACAACCUGGUGCACAAAUUGAUGAUGUAGGGAUUAGACCUGUAGGUGAUGAUCAGCAAGGUUGAGGCAGUGGCUUAGGAGCUGGGUUUUAGACAAUGUAUAUUAUUUGUAUUUUAUGGCAGUUGUUUUUAAGCUCAUGUGAGCGAAGUAGUUUAUUAGUAAACUUUUGAAAGUUGAUGUAAUUAAGGAGAUAUAAUGUUUAACUCGGUUGAUGAUUUUAUUGACAUUUACAUUUCCAGUGUUUGUUUUUAGUUUGGAAAUUGUUGAGCAGGUUAUGGGAUAUUAAGAUUUUGAGUUUUAUCAUGCCCAAAUUUUUAAAAUUUUAUUAUUCGAAAAUUGGGGUGUGACAUUUGAUGAUGAUUAUUAUGAUGAUGAUUUUGAUGAUGAUGAUGAUGAUUAUAAUUUAAAAAUUUUGUUUUUGUUUGUUUUAAAAUAUAUGAGCUUGAUCGCCAACGGCUCAUAGGUAAGAGAAAACAAGUUUUCCUAUUUAAAUGAUUAUUUUUAAGGUUUUUGUAACCAUAAUAUUUUUGGUUCUAUUGAUGUGAUUAUUAGUGUCUUGGUGGUGAUUGUGUGUCUUAGUUGUGAAUGUGUGCCUUAGUGGUGAUUGUGUACUUUCGUUGUGGAAUAGUGUCUUGGUGGUGAUUGUGUGUCUUAGUUGUGAAUGUGUGCUUUAGUGGUGAUUGUGUGCAUUAGUUGUGAAUGUGUGCCUUAGUGGUGAUUGUGUGCAUUAGAUUAGGAGUCUUCGUGGUGGACCGGGAACCAAGCCUUGGCCGGGUGAUUGGUUACGGUCAGUAUAGAGCUCUAGUCUGUUUAUCGGUACUUCAUGGGAGAUGACUAAGUGUUGACAAACCUAUAAGUAUGCGUUUGUUUGGUUACUUAUGGGGGAUGACUAAGUGUUGACGAACUCAUAAGUAAGAGUAGAGAAAUGAUUGUGUGAUGUUUUUUAUGUGUUGUCAUUUAAUUUCUUGCUUUGAGUAUCUUCUGAACUAUGAUUAUCCACAAGAGAUUCUUUAAUCUUAAUGGUAUGAUUUUUAGUGGAAUUCCUGAACUAUGCUUUUUGCAGGAUUUCAUUGAUGAUUUGAUUGAUUGUGAAUUGUUGUGUUUUCUUAAUUACUUUCUUUUGAUUUUAGGCGAUUCUUGAACUAAGUUUCUAAUGCAGAAAUUACCAAUUUUAUUCCUAUGUGAUAUUGGGUUGAGUCAUUUAUAGUAGAUUUACUCAUACAAGCUUUUUAGUUUACCGGGUUUGUUGUUUACAACCCGGUGCACCAAUUCAUGGUGUAGGGGUUAGACCUGCAAGUGAUGAUCAGCAGAGUUGAGGCAGUGGCUUAGGAACUGGGUAUUAGAAUAGUACAUUUAUUUGUAUAUUAUGGCGGUUGUUUUUAAGCUCAUGUGAGCGACUUUAUUAUUACUAGACUUUUGAAGUUGAUGUAAUUAAGGAGAUUUAAUGUUAAACUCGGUUGAUGAGUUUGUUGACAUUUACAUUUCCAGUAUUUGAUUUUUGGUUUGAAA
rnacentral:lncRNA from 1 species